rnacentral:rRNA from 1 species
GGGGAAUUUUCCGCAAUGGGCGCAAGCCUGACGGAGCAAUACCGCGUGAGGGAGGAAGGCUCUUGGGUCGUAAACCUCUUUUCUCUGGGAAGAAUAACUGACGGUACCAGAGGAAUCAGCAUCGGCUAACUCCGUGCCAGCAGCCGCGGUAAUACGGGGGAUGCAAGCGUUAUCCGGAAUUAUUGGGCGUAAAGCGUCCGCAGGUGGCUAAUCAAGUCUGUUGUCAAAGCGCGGAGCUUAACUCCGUACAGGCGAUGGAAACUGGUUGGCUAGAGUUAGGUAGGGGUAAGAGGAAUUCCCAGUGUAGCGGUGAAAUGCGUAGAUAUUGGGAAGAACACCGGCGGCGAAAGCGUCUUACUGGGCCUAAACUGACACUGAGGGACGAAAGCUAGGGGAGCGAAAGGGAUUAGAUACCCCUGUAGUCCUAGCCGUAAACGAUGACAACUAGGUGUUGCCCGUAUCGACCCGGGCAGUGCCGUAGCUAACGCGUUAAGUUGUCCGCCUGGGGAGUACGCACGCAAGUGUGAAACUCAAAGGAAUUGACGGGGGCCCGCACAAGCGGUGGAGUAUGUGGUUUAAUUCGAUGCAACGCGAAGAACCUUACCAGGGCUUGACAUGUGCAGAAUACCCUUGAAAGGGGGUAGUGCCUUCGGGAGCUGCAACACAGGUGGUGCAUGGCUGUCGUCAGCUCGUGUCGUGAGAUGUUGGGUUAAGUCCCGCAACGAGCGCAACCCACGUUUCUAGUUGCCAUCAUUAAGUUGGGCACUUUAGAGAGACUGCCGGUGACAAACCGGAGGAAGGUGUGGAUGACGUCAAGUCAGCAUGCCCCUUACGCCCUGGGCUACACACGUACUACAAUGCUACGGACAAAGGGACGCUAGCCAGCGAUGGUAUGCAAAUCUCGAAAACCGUAGCCCAGUUCAGAUUGCAGGCUGCAACUCGCCUGCAUGAAGGCGGAAUCGCUAGUAAUCGCAGGUCAGCAUACUGCGGUGAAUACGUUCCCGGGCCUUGUACACACCGCCCGUCACACCAUGGGAGUUGGCCACGCCCGAAGUCGUUACUCCAACCUUUCGGGGGGGAGGGCGCCUAAGGCGGGACUGAUGACUGGGGUGAAGUCGUAACAAGGUAGCCGUACCGGAAGGUGUGGCUGGAUCACCUCCUU